rnacentral:rRNA from 1 species
UACAGAGGUCUCAAGCGUUGUUCGGAUUCAUUGGGCGUAAAGGGUGUGUAGGUGGCGCCGUAAGUCGGGUGUGAAAUUUCGGAGCUUAACUCCGAAACUGCAUUCGAUACUGCGGUGCUUGAGGACUGGAGAGGAGACUGGAAUUCAUGGUGUAGCAGUGAAAUGCGUAGAGAUCAUGAGGAAGACCAGUGGCGAAGGCGGGUCUCUGGACAGUUCCUGACGCUGAAGCACGAAGGCCAGGGGAGCAAACGGG